rnacentral:rRNA from 1 species
UACGUAGGGGGCAAGCGUUGUCCGGAUUUAUUGGGCGUAAAGAGCGUGUAGGCGGCCAUGUAGGUCCGUUGUGAAAACUCGAGGCUCAACCUCGAGACGCCGAUGGAAACCAUGUGGCUAGAGUCCGGAAGAGGAGAGUGGAAUUCCUGGUGUAGCGGUGAAAUGCGCAGAUAUCAGGAAGAACACCCGUGGCUAAGGCGGGUCUCUGGGCCUUACCUGACACUGAGGAGCGAAAGCGUGGGGAGCGAACAGG